UGCGCAGGCGGACUAAUAAGUCAGUGGUGAAAUCCUACAGCUUAACUGUAGAACUGCCAUUGAUACUGUUAGUCUUGAGUAUAGCUGAGGUAGGCGGAAUGUGUCAUGUAGCGGUGAAAUGCUUAGAUAUGACACAGAACACCGAUUGCGAAGGCAGCUUACUCAACUAUCACUGACGCUGAGGCACGCAAGCGUGGGGAGCGAACAGGAUUAGAUAUCCUGGUAGUCC
rnacentral:rRNA from 1 species